rnacentral:lncRNA from 1 species
CUCUCUCUCUCUCUCUCUCUCUGUGCCUGACGUCCCUGUUUGUCAAUCUACAACUCCGUGUCCAGGACUCUCAAGAUCGUUUCAUUAACUGUGGGAAGUUGAGACUUUCCCUUUCAACCUCUGCUCUGUAACAUCAAAGACCACCCUGAUCUCCACACUCUUAAGAAAGUGGGGGCUUCUUUCCCUCAGGAUCUAUAUAUGUUAUUCUCUGGCAAGAACCCUCAGCUCCUGUUUGUCAUUUUCAAGUCCCUGCUUCAGGUCUGUAUAACUAUUACAGUCUAAUCAAUGGUUCCCUAUUCUCCAACUGUCACUUCAUUUUUCUUUCUCAUGGGUCUUCUUUCCAGGACACAAAACUCUUUGGUCUUCCCAUGGGCAGAACUUGGCAGAGCCCCCAGAGGACCAGCCCUCACGCAAGAUACCUGGGACAGCAUGAAGUUUCUAGGAUGGUUCCCAGAGAAAUUGAGACUGUGCAUGGCUCUGGUCUCACUGGCUGUUGAACUCCAGCACUGCUGCUGGGCUUGUGCUGGACAACACAGUCAAGGCCUUCCUGAACCUCUAUUGGUGCCAUUCUCCCAACUGGCCAAUCUGAAGAACUUCACCGCAAGCUUCCUAAGAGUCAUCAUCAGAAAAGAUUCCCUAGUGAAACCCUGAAGCAGCAUUAGUGGCCAAACUACAACUACUGUUCCCCACUUGCUGAAGAAUGUCACAGUGAAACUAAGACAGUCAUACAAGCUUCCUAUGCAUCUGCCUCAGAGAGGAGCCCUGCAACAGCAUUUCUGCCCAACCAACUCUUCUUCUUGGUGAGCUAUCCAUUUAACUUUUAUAUUAGCAUGAUGAUAUAUGGAAUGUUUGUGUGAAUUCACAGCCUCCUCAGAAGACAAAUCUGUGUACAUUCUAAUUACUGAGCACUUUCCACCCAUAGGCCACUCUUUCUGCAAUGUAACUGUUCUAAAAUGGAUACUGGUAAAGCUUUAAAAAUGCGCCCACGCAAGCCCAUGGAGACAGCACUAAGUGAGCAACAGAGUAAGAACUGGUCCUGAUGCCACUGUUUAUGUCCCAGGAUGAG